rnacentral:lncRNA from 1 species
GGAGAGGCCAAUUAAUCCAAGUUCGAAAAUUCCCUUGGAAGGACUUCGAAACUAGCUGACAAGUGAGCCCCAUCAGUGCCAGAUCAGCAACUACCGGUACAACUGACGGAAACCCUAACGGUGGAAUCGAAUUGUAACAAAUUUACAAGCUCGGGGUAUGCGAUUGUAAAAAUUGAGAAGGCGGGAACUAACAUACCUUAACAUUGUAAGUUCAGGGUACUAAACUAUAAUUAACCCAAUUUAUAAUGAACCCACACAAUGCCCCUUGAUAGAAAAGGACUAUUAGCAUUAUUAUUUUGGUGCGUAUACUGUUUGUUCUGACAAUUGAUUACAUUAUAAUUUACAUGGGUGAUUGGAGAUUGUUAGUAUUGCUGAAAACAAUAGAUACUGUUUGUCUCUCCGAUUCCGGUUGCUUAGGCAACAAGGUUAUAAGGUUUCAUGCGGUUAGUCUGCGGUCACACGUUUGUAUUAUAAUUCUAGCUAGAUUAAUU